rnacentral:rRNA from 1 species
UACGUAGGGGGCAAGCGUUGUCCGGAAUCAUUGGGCGUAAAGCGCGUGUAGGCGGCCCGGUAAGUCCGCUGUGAAAGUCGGGGGCUCAACCCUCGGAUGCCGGUGGAUACUGUCGGGCUAGAGUGCGGGAGAGGCGAGUGGAAUUCCUGGUGUAGCGGUGAAAUGCGCAGAUAUCAGGAGGAACACCAAUUGCGAAGGCAGCUCGCUGGAACGUUACUGACGCUGAGACGCGAAAGCGUGGGGAGCAAACGGG